ensembl:lncRNA LINC02069 long intergenic non-protein coding RNA 2069
GGAGGGGGGGGUGAUAAUAAAAGGGACCUUGAUAUGAACCGCUUGGGAACCACCUGUGUAGGAGGCAGUUCGGGAGCAACUCUCAAAAGGUGCAGUGGCUUGCAAGAUUCAGAGCUGGCGUGGGCAGGGACACCCCUCUCAGAGCUAACACAGUGCACCGCAGCCCUGGCGCCAGCUCGGGGAAUCAGGUGGGCCCUACACGAGAAGGUUCCACAGAUACUGCCUGCCUAAAGUGGAUCUUGAGUCAGAUCCUACGAAAGCCAGAAGGAGGGCAUGGCUGAGAGUACCUCGGAGAGGCAGAAAAAGGGGAGCUGACUCAACACUGCUCUGUUGGGAAGAUGUGGGGAGAGAUUCUGGAGAUGACCUUGGCUCCUGGAGAUGGCAUCUUAAAGCAGAUCUCUGCCAGGCGAGAUCCCGUGGCCCAUGGGACACACCUUCACUGGGCCUGAGCUGUCUGUCGGCUUCAUCUACUGGGACACUGGCAGCCUCACUGUCAAGUGCACGUUUGUCCUGGCCUGGGCUCCGAGCAGGGGCAGCACAGGGAGAACGGCCCCAUGGUUCCACCUCACCAGCUGUGAGAACCCGUGGGCCUGGGGAAGAGCAGCUGGGCCAGGAACCAGUGAUGCAGCCCUCUCUGUGACGGAAACAAGACACAGGCCUGGCUCAUUUGCAUGUCAGGUCUCUUUUACAUAAAUCUGCAUGUCAAGCUGGAGGCCCUGGAGCCAGGUAAUGCAAAGUGAUGCAAAAUAAAUUAAUCAGUGUGC